ACGGAAGGCAGCAGUGGGGAAUAUUGCGCAAUGGGCGAAAGCCUGACGCAGCAACGCCGCGUGAGGGAUGACGGCCUUCGGGUUGUAAACCUCUUUCAGCUCCGACGAAGCCUUCGGGUGACUGUAGGAGCAGAAGAAGCACCGGCUAACUACGUGCCAGCAGCCGCGGUAAUACGUAGGGUGCGAGCGUUGUCCGGAAUUAUUGGGCGUAAAGAGCUCGUAGGCGGCCUGUUGCGUCCGCUGUGAAAGCCCGGGGCUUAACCCCGGGUCUGCAGUGGAUACGGGCAGGCUAGAGUUCGGCAGGGGAGACUGGAAUUCCUGGUGUAGCGGUGAAAUGCGCAGAUAUCAGGAGGAACACCGGUGGCGAAGGCGGGUCUCUGGGCCGAUACUGACGCUGAGGAGCGAAAGCGUGGGGAGCGAACAGGAUUAGAUACCCUGGUA
rnacentral:rRNA from 1 species